rnacentral:lncRNA from 1 species
CUGGCCUUGAACUUGUAGACCUCCUGUCUCAACCUCCCAAAUGACUAGCACUACAAAUCUACCAAAUCUAGCAGUUGAGCAUUUGCUUAUAUACCUUUGGCUUUAUACAUCUUUAAUCAUAGCACGCUAGAGACAGGGACAAGCAUCUCUCUGAGCUGGAGGCCAGCCAGAGAUACAUAAUGAAACUCUGUCUCAAAAAACAAAAAAGAUUUUUGUUUAUAAGUGAGAACCUCAGGACAAGGCAUGAUGUGCACCCCUUUACUCCCAACAUUCAUGAGACAGAACAAAUACAUUUCUGUGAGUUUCAGGCCAGCCAGGGCCACACAGUAAGACCCCAUCUCAAAAAGGGGGUGGGAGGAGCUCAACUGUAGUACAAAUAUCAGAAAUGAGUUCAUUGGGAAUCAGGAAAUAUUGUGAAGACUGUAGUGGCCUGGGUCUGUGGUUAGAAACAGAAGAGUAUUUGCCUCUCUGCACACUGUCUUGAUUCAUUCAUAGCAUGUGAGCAGGCAACAGCAUCGGCAUUUAGAAAAACAAAAUAAAUGGGUGCUUCAUUAUUUGUCUGUUCAUUACGUCCUACAUUUUUACUCAGGGAAGAUGGUUCUAUGCUUUGUUGGCUUGUCUUGAGAAACCUUUGCUACCUGAGGCUCACUCACUGAUUCGACAGCUUGCCAGAAGGUGUUCUGAAGUGAGGCUCCUGGUGGGCAGUAAAGACGAUGAAAGAGUUC